CUGGCGGCAUGCCUUACACAUGCAAGUCGAACGGCAGCACGGAGCAAUCCNGGUGGCGAGUGGCGAACGGGUGAGUAAUAUAUCGGAACGUGCCCAGUCGUGGGGGAUAACGUAGCGAAAGCUACGCUAAUACCGCAUACGAUCUAUGGAUGAAAGCGGGGGAUCGCAAGACCUCGCGCGAUUGGAGCGGCCGAUAUCAGAUUAGGUAGUUGGUGAGGUAAAGGCUCACCAAGCCGACGAUCUGUAGCUGGUCUGAGAGGACGACCAGCCACACUGGGACUGAGACACGGCCCAGACUCCUACGGGAGGCAGCAGUGGGGAAUUUUGGACAAUGGGCGCAAGCCUGAUCCAGCAAUGCCGCGUGCAGGAUGAAGGCCUUCGGGUUGUAAACUGCUUUUGUACGGAACGAAACGGUGAGCUCUAAUACAGUUUGCUAAUGACGGUACCGUAAGAAUAAGCACCGGCUAACUACGUG
rnacentral:rRNA from 1 species